rnacentral:tRNA from 1 species
GGCUCGUUGGUCUAGGGGUAUGAUUCUCGCUUUGGGUGCGAGAGGUCUCGGAUUCAAAUCCCGGACGAGCCC